CCUACGGGUGGCAGCAGUGGGGAAUAUUGCUCAAUGGGGGAAACCCUGAAGCAGCGACGCCGCGUGGAGGAUGAAGGUUUUCGGAUUGUAAACUCCUUUUGGUAGAGAAGAUAAUGACGGUAUCUAACGAAUACGCCCCGGCUAACUCCGUGCCAGCAGCCGCGGUAAUACGGAGGGGGCAAGCGUUACCCGGAAUCACUGGGCGUAAGGGGCGCGUAGGCGGGAUAGCAAGUCAGAUGUGAAAUCCUAGGGCUUAACCAGAGAACUGCAUUUGAAACUGUUAUUCUAGAGUAUGGGAGAGGUAGGUGGAAUUCUUGGUGUAGGGGUAAAAUCCGUAGAGAUCAAGAGGAACACUCAUUGCGAAGGCGACCUGCUAGAACAUAACUGACGCUGAGGCGCGAAAGCGUGGGGAGCAAACAGGAUUAGAUACCCUUGUAGUC
rnacentral:rRNA from 1 species